UAGCACCCCGUUUGACAUGAUCUCAACAAUUUUCCUUUUCUGAUAUAGUUUCAAAAGAUUCAAUCACAUUUCACUUUGAACACCUCUUCUUGAUUGUAAGUAAAUGACAAGUAUCAUUAAUAAGGCAUCAUUCUUCAACUACUUUUUCUUUACAUUGCUCUAAGUAAUGGGGAUUCUUAUAUUUGUACUGGUUGGAUCUUGAGUUUGCCAGAUGCCCAAUUCUCCACGAUUCAGGAUAAGCAUGUUCAGCUUUUGCUCCAUGUGUAUGAAGUCCUUGUUGAGACACCCACCUUUAAAAUAUAGGCACUUGAAAAUGUCAUUUUGAAGUUAUGCAGAAAAGGAGGAGCCAUCUAUGGAAGAUGAGGUUGCCUACUUUAUAUUUUGGACUUCGUGUAGUGUAUCUGUAAGUGGCCUGAUUGGGAAGAAGACACGAGGCCAUGGAUGAGAGCCAAACAGAGUCUUUGGAGACAAACAUUGAUUUUUGACUAACUAUAAAAGGCUUAUGCCAGACGUUAAAUUUAAGGAUAAAUCUUGAGAAUGACGCCACUAAUAUCAAUCUGCUGCAAUAUUUCUUGUCAUUUAGGCCAUUAAAACCAGAUCAUUUUGAUGCUGACAUAGUUGUGCAUUAAUACAAAAAAUACAAUAAACAGAGAAUGACAACCCCAUCUUGCCUCUAAAUGAGCAAGUUUGAAGUGAGAAGCCAUAGCAAAGUCCCACCAACAGCAAACUCCAAAUUCAGCCAUUUCUUUCCAUUGCAACAGCCACCCUGAGCGCUCACGCCUUUACUAUUAGCACUUGCACUGGAAUUGCUUUUAACUGAUACACAAAGAAUCAGCAACUCCAGCUAGAGAUUUUUUCUAGAAAAAAAUUGGACUGAUCAAAGUUGUAUGUAUAGGAAUUUACCAGUAGAAGGAGUGCUGCUGGCAGUGCCAUUGGAGCUGUUAGCAAACUGGUAAAAGACCUGAGCAUCUGGUGAAUUAGGAGCCAAGUGUAGAAGAGCUGCAUACAAGUCAUUGAUCAAACACACAUGGUCCAAAUUAAGUAUAUAUAUCAUACUAGUGUUUGAGAGAUACGUAAAUAUAUGUAGUACCUGGGCACUGGGAAACAUUAGCAGGAGCAUGGCAAACAGAAGGAAGGCCCAAGGCAAGUGUGGCAUUAAGGUUGAGACCCAGAUCUGGAUCAUUUCUAUCUUUAAUAAUCACACACAGGCAUUUCUUGUUCUUCUGCAGGACUUGUUUGAGACCACUGCAGCAGUCUGGUGUUGGGGCUUUUGCAUCACCCCCAACAUAGGGAAGACAUGUGGCCAUCCCUACCAACUGCUCUGUACAUUCUUGUUUGUCUUUGGCUGAAUCUGAGGUUACACAGGUAAUCACCAUUGAUACAAUCACUAAGAUCAUGAAAGUACAGUGUGAUCCCAUUGUGAUGGUCUUAAAUCAGGCGCAAAGUGAAGAGGAACAAAGUUUGAAAUCUAGUUUAUGCUUUGGCUAGCUAUUUAAAUGAUCAGCAAGGAGGUAAAAAGAAGAGGAUGGUGGUGGUAGUAGUUGGAAAUUGGACCUAUAUCCCUUGCACCAACCUUCUUCAAUCAUUACAAUGAUCAAUCCUAGUGUCACCUCAUGGUCCUUGGAACUUCUUUUACAGGCCAAUAGCUAAGCACUAAUCUACAGACCAGACGGUGUUGGAUUGUUAACUUGAAUGGGAAACCUAAAACAGAUCAAAUUUUUUCUUCUCAACAACUUUUCGUUUGACAUCAUGAUUGAAAAUAUUCAUUUGGGGCAAUGAUGUGUAGAUUAGUAGAACAUUCUAGUUCUCCUGAGUUGUGGAAUUGGGAUGAAAGUGCAGCAGAAAGUGCAAAUUUCACCAACCCACCAAGGCCAUAGUGCAACACUAGUGAUGUUGAUUAAUAUAAAGUACUAACAGGUACAGUUGCCAAUGGCUUAGAUAGAGCUUGACAUCAUCCACACAUCAUCCAUCUCAAGAGUGAAAGAGGGAGGAUAAUUGUUAACUUUAAUUUGUAUAAAACCAUUGAAGUUAAAUUAUCUGAAAUUGGAAUAUAGGCCCUUUCUUCCUGAAGUGUUCCUCAUUUUUUAGGCUGGGCUCAGGGAAAAGGGCCUCACCCAAUAGUGUGUUGGGCAGGCCUGGCUUUCUGGUAGGCUCAGAUCAUCCAGCUAGUCCCAGGCCUGUCACCAAAGGGGAUUGAGAUAAAUUACAGGCCAUCAGCCCAGUUUACAUCCCCCUUUCUUGAAGAGAUUUUAUUUUGUUAUUUUUUCAAGUCUAAUGAAAUGUGUGAAUAUAACGCAUGCAUCACACUUUAAGAAAUGUCUACAAAAUGGUGUAAAAUCUAUGUAUUUUUUUUUUUAAAAGGUGUAAAUAACUUCUAAAUAAAUUUGUUUUAAGAAGUACAUGAAAAUGUUGUAAAAUCUGUGUUUUGACAGUGCAAUCUAAAGUACUGUCGAUUAAAAUGUUGCCUAAACUUCAACAAAUGGGUACAAUGAACAUUUUUAACCUAUAUGAAGGAGGACAACAGUGCCUUUGAAUGCCUGUCUCCAAAUUACAAAGAGCAAUGCUGUAUACUUAGAAGCUGGAACUUCACAGGCCAUGAUCAUUUUGACUAGAGAUCAUAAUAUGAUUUGCAAUGUGUGUUGUCCCAUGAUUUCAUUUGAGGAAAUUAGUGAUGCAACUUGGGCGGGUUAAGCAUAACCCAAUCCAAAUCCAACCCAAUUUUGUAUGGGUUUGAAGUUUGAACAACUAAAUUAAUUUGCAAUUUGAGUUGAGCUUGAAAAAAAUAAAAUAAAUGUCAACCCUGAUUAAAAUGGAGCUAGAAUUGGGUUGGUGAACGUAGCCAAUCAUAUAUUUAUAAAAAAAUUAAAUUAAACUGUAAAUAUGUAUAUGUGUAUAAAUGUAUAUUAUUUAAUAAUAUUGCACUAGUAUUUUUUUUUUAAUUUUUUUAAAUUGAAAUAUAUUUAUUGUUUUAAAGCUUGUAAGAAGUUGAAGAUUGAUGGACUUCUAAAGAUUCAAUUAUUUGUGUGUAAUGAAUAAUUAAUUUAUAUCUUUUGGCUUAACUUUUAGGAUGUACCUUAAAACUUGAUCAUCAACUUUUAAAGCUACUUUUAAGAACAAAUUGGAGGUGUCGCUCUUUCCUUUCCUCUAAUUAUGAUAAGUUGUUUGAAUGAUUGAUUAGAAAUUGAAAUGUCUUCUUGAACAUGUAAGAAGUACAACUUUUACUUUUAAUUCAAUUGUUGAUAGGAAAUUUCAUAUAAUCUUUAUUUUUUUUAUUUUAAAAUUACUUCGCCCGUUUUAUUGAUUAUAAAAUAGGGUUAUAACUAUUGGAUGGAUCAAGUAAAAGAAUAUUAUAAAUUUAUGUUUUAUACAUUGGAAAAUUAUAUUUCCAUGUACUCAUUUGCAAAAAAUUUCAUGCUAAGAACUCAAAUUUAUAAUAUUCAAACUUUCAUAUAUGUAUUUAAAAAUAAUUAGGAUUUUAUACAUUUUUUUUUAUUAAAUAAAUCGAUUUUAAGCAUUUAAAUACCAUAUUUUAAUAAUAUAGAUAUUAUCUAGGAUCAACUAGAUAUUUAAAUAUAUAAAAUUUGAAUUAUUUUUAAAGAAUUUCUACUUUUUUUCUAUCAGAAACAUACAGUUGAUAAAUUGAUUUUCAAAAGUUCAAGACUUCUAAUUAAAUGAAUGUUAUAAUAGCUUUUGGUAAAAUAUUUAGUAAAAAGGAUAUUAAGUUUAUAUAAAUAGUACUUAUCAACCUCACCAAUCCAAAAAUAUUAGUUUAACAAAAAUGUAUGAAUAUAACCACAAGAAGAGAAUAUCAGAAGGACCCAAUUGAGAGGUCUUCCUGAGUUCAUAAAUCAACCAACAGCAGAUUUCACGGGCACCGAUCGUAUCGGUUAGAUGACUUCUCUGGCAUUGAUAUUCCCUUGUGAAACGGCAGCUUUACUUUUGUUUUGUUUCAUUAUUUGAUUGAUGAAAAUGAUUAAAGGUGCAUUAAUGCAUGAGCAAUAUCUUUAUAGACUAUGAAUCAUCAUCAGGAGUGAGGACAAUGAUCUCUGACUAGUGGGUCAUCUCAUUACCUACAUCAUUACACUACUGAUAAGUUUUUCUUGCAAGAUAGCAGCAUCCUAGAUCAUUCCAGUAGUGUGGAGAGAGCAUCUAGACCAAGUCCAAAGCCCCAACUAGUGGGGUACAGCACAAAAGACAUAAGACCAAAAGAAAAAUUAGUGGACCCCCAUUUCCUUUUAACUAAGCAGGUAAAAGCAAAGACCGAAAUAGGACUUAGGAUCCUCUAGUAUGCGGAUCUCAAACCAUUCUUUUAGUGAUCUUCUUAGGCAGCAGCUAGUUUUGUCUAAUCAAGGCUUCUGCAGUAGAAAAUUCCCAUCAGGGCUUAGCCCAACUUGCCCUGAUCAUGAUCAUGAUCAUUCUUCACUCAUUUUAUAGGGCCUUAAGUUAAUAUAUAACCCUAGAAACCCCAUCCAAGAUACUAAAUAUAGUCAUGGAACAGGUCCUCAUUAACAAAGCCCCACCUUAAAAUAAGCCUAAUUAAAAUAGCCUGUGGCAACCUAUCAAGCCUCAAAUCAUAUCUGAAAAACAGCUCAGGAAGUAAUAUGACACUUGUCAAACCCAAAGUUUAGCUCGUCAUAUUUCCAUUAGGAAGAAUGAUAAUCACAUUACAUCUGUAAAAGAUGAUAAUGAAAGGAUCCAAACUUGAUGAUAGGAACCUUUCCACAAUCCUGAUGUAAAUUUAGUAGGGUUUACUAGAGUUAGAGACACACCCAUCUCAUACUUUAAAGUAUGUUGAUAUAAAAAAGGAAAAAACACAAAGAACAUUGCAGAAUUGAGAAAUGGGCAACCAUCUCUAAGUCUUCAAUAAUGUUUCCUCCCCUCAAAUCUUGCUAUUUUGUUUAUUGUGGCCUACCUCAGUAACUGGUCCAUGGUCGGUCGUAUGUGGCAGCUGUUCAUUGGCUCGGCCUUUUAAAUAAAUGAUGACAUGAAUAUCAACCAUGUAAAGUCAUCACCGGCCUUAACAGAAAGCAUAGUACUGCUAAAGGAAGAGAAUCUCCAUACUACUAAGUAAAGUCAAGAAAAGAGACUAUAUAAACCACGUUUGUUGCACAAUUUUCUUCAUCCCAUCAUCCAGUUGAAUCUGUAUUUCUCAUCUAGCUCUCUGCAUCCUGUCCUAGUUUCCCAAGAUAUGGCUAAAGAUCACUAUUCUUCUGCUCAGUCUGAUCAGCCUCUUCCCCUACACCUUUGCUGUUUCCUUGCUAUACUCUUCAUGUUUAUUGCCUUCUCAUGGUACAUCAACUAUGAGCCUGUGUUGGAUAGUAUGUUCGAUCAGCUCAAAUUGAUUCUAAUGGUGUCCCCUUUGCUGCUUCUACUAGCCGUCCAUUGGCUUUCCAGCGACUUGGGCAGGCAGUUUCCAUCUCUGAUACCUUUGCCGCAGCGAGACUCACUUCACAGAGCUGGAGGAACUCCUUGGGGAGUUGGGUUUCUCCUGGUUUUUUUCUUUUUCAUGAUAUCCUACCAGUCCUACUUCCAUGAACGCUGGUUUCCUCUUCUGAGCAGAUGAUGAAGUUAAUGGUCUCUUUGUAUUGUGUAAUUUGUAUCUGUUGUACCUAGUUGCCAUGGCAAGGCUUCCAGAUUUUGUUUUGUUGUCUUGUAAUCUAAAUUUUGUAUAAAUCCAUCUGGGUGUUACUCUUUUCUGACUGAAAAUUUUUGUGUUGCCAUUUUUUUUAUACAAACAUGUUGAUGAAUCUGCAAUUUUUAGGGGAAUUCAGUCCAAAUAAGGCCUGAAUCACAUUCCACCGGCACUAUAGUUUUUGGGUUUCACUAACAAUUCCCCAAAAUUAAUAUCUGGGUCAGUGGGUUCAUUCCUUGUGAGCGCAGUGCACAGCCUCCAAAUCUGUCAGUUGAGAACCCUAAUUCUCCCAGGGAGGAGAUAAGGACAAUAUCACUGUUUUCUGCAUUAUAUUCAACGAUGCAAAUCUUGACUUGGAUAGAUGACAGUCAUGAGUCAUGACACCAUGAUAUUUUAGCAAUUUUCAUGUAUUUAAUCCCAAAACCAAAAUGGUCGACAAGUCAAUGUGCCAUGUGUGAGGUGUGUGUGGAUUUGAUGAUGGGGUAGUUUAGAAGUCAUGUGUGAGAGGAAAAUGACUUGUAGGUCUCCUGAUAAUUGUAGGGCAAUGGUAGGAAAAGUAGGGAGCAUAUCAAUGGCAUUUAAUAAAAUUUUAAGCUUUAGUUCCGGAUCUGAAUGGGGGUGUGAGCUUGACUUUGAACCUAAAAUAUAAUCCUAGUUCUAUGGGUACAUUAUAGGUAUAGGGUUUCCAUUAAGGACAAGGAGUAUCAUUUUCAUUCUCAACCUAACAACCUAACCUUUCUCCAUCUUAUCUAAACUUUUGAAUAUUAAUAUACGCUCUUAUUACAUACACACACGUAUUGAUUUCCAAAUCAGAGUAGUUAGAUGGGGAAAAAGGCCUUGUUGGGAAUAUCUCUAAUUUUAACUUUUUUAGAAAUUAUCAACAUUCUCCUUUAACUUCUCCCAAUAGGCUUAUUAUUUUCACGGGUUUUCUGCUUGGAUUAGCUUUUUCUAUUCCUUGAUCCACUAGGAUUUGGUACCAUUGAAGGGAUUUUUAUUGUACCAUAAUCGAAACUUAUGAAACUUUUGCCAUGUUUGGUUCUUCAAAUGUAGUAAUAAAAGAAUUUUUUUUUUUUAAAAAAAAUUCUCAUAUUUGAUUUUAUCAUGAAAAAUAUUUAAAAAAAAAUCAAAUAUAAUUAAAAUUAAUUAUAAAUUUAUAUGUUUUAAAUUUAUUUAAUCUUGAUGUAGAAAAAAAAUAAUAAAUAAAAUAAAUUUAAAAUAACGUAUAAAAAUAAAUUAUUGAUUUUAAAUUUAUUUUUUAUUUUUCUCUAUGUUAUCUUUUCAUUGUAUUUUCCUUCAAAAUUUCUAGUAACCAAAUAUGACCUUAACAUAUUAACUAAGACCUCUCUUUCUGCGAAACAAUAAUUAUUAGGAUUCACCCCUUUUAGGAUAUGAGUCCAUGGGUGCUUAAUCUUGACAAUUUUAUUUUUUAUUUUUUAAUAUUCAUGGUUUUUGGGUUCUUAAACUUGGCAACUUUUUUUUUAAAAAAAAUAUUUUUUUAAUGGGAUUCACUUUUAAUAUGUUACCCAUAAAAAAUCUUGUAAAUAUUAUUUGCUUUACACUAUAAAAUAAGCACAUCAUAUGAUUUGUUUCCUAUAAGUAUUACAAACUUUUUACCAAAUCACAUGGGAUAUCACAUCAAGAUAUUGGAUUUUAACAAAAAUUUCUGAUUCCAAAACUUGUUUAAGUGGGCAAGUAUUUUAUUAAUUCUUAAUAAAUUAAAUAAAAUGAGUUUUAAAAGGCAUAUACAAACAAUUUAUUCAUCCUUAAUUAAUUAAUUAUUUUUCUUUAAUUUUUUAUUUUCUUUCAUUUUAGAACCAAAUAUUAAACAAAUAAUUUAAAAAUACAUAAGCUUCUAACUAAUUUUAAGAAUAUUUUAUUUUAUUUCAUAUUUUAUAUGAUAAAUCAAAUAUGAAAAAAUGAUUUUUUAAUACAUUUUUCCCUUUCAUUUUCCAAAUACCAAAUAUUAGAUAAAUAAUUUAAAAAUACAUAAGCUUCUAAUUAAUUUUAAACCUAUUUUAUUUUAUUUUAUUUUAUUUUUUAUAUUUUUUUAUGAUAAAUCAAAUAUGAGAAAAUAAUUUUUUUUUUAUAACAUUUGUUUCUUUUCUUAAUACUUUAUUUGAAACUAAAUAGAGCAUUAAUUUUUAUGUAGUAAAAAAAAAAUCAAGUGAAAUAAAUUUGAAGAAAUAUAUAAAAAUAAUUUUAUUAACUUUAAUUAAUUAAUUUUCGUUUCUUUUUAACUUUUCUAUUUAUCUCAAAUUCAAAUUUGUUGAGAUCAAACAUCGGAUUGCCAUCCUAAGCAAAGCCCAAUUUACAAUGGUGCUUGGACUUAACAAGAAACUAGUCACUCCACUUGGGCAGAAGUUGGAGGAGGUCAAGUCAUGCCAAAUUCCAGGAAGGAGCCCAUGCGGGCCUUCCCAUAUGAUCAUCAGAUGAGGUUUGGACAGAAACUGGGCUCAAGCCAUGCUUGAAAUUGAGCACAGCCCAUCCUCAUUUGUUACUUGUACAAAAGCUAUGGGACAAUGGAGCUUCAAGUGGGAGCAAUCAGAGUGUGACCCAAAUUGUGAGUCCUAUCUACUUCUCUCACUUUGUGGACACACCAUGAUCAAUAAUUUUCAGACUACACCACCUAUCCCAUAAACAGUUGAGUUGAACAUUUUACCAAUUUCAUCUUAAAAUUAAUUAAUUCUUAGUGAGAUUAUGACCAUACCCUAAAUCUGAUACCAAAUUUCCCAUCUCAUCUUAAAACUAAUUGAUUCCCUGAUGAGGUUGUGAUUAUCUCCUCUUAUAUGUUGUAUAAAAGAUGAUACAUAAUCUUCACUGAAAAGGCAAAAUUCCUUUGUUGAAGGUGAAGGUGAAACAAAAUGGUAGAAAUGAAUUAUUUUAGUAUUAUUUUUUACUCCUCAUAUAUAUUCGGACUAUUCUCUGAUUUGACAUGAUCUCAAUGUCUCUCUAGAAUUACUUUUAAGAUAUCUGUUAGGAUUACAUGGGGCUAAUUGUAUGCUUUUUAUAGCCUUUUUUUUUUAUUUAAGCUUUUUCCUAAUUUUUUAUUUGACCUAUCAUAUACUAUUCUCAGUAUUACCUUAUCUUAUUUUUGUAAUCUUUACUUUAUCCCUUUAGAGAUUUAUCACCUUUGGAAAAUUUUUGUUAAGUAAACCUAGGUAAAGAGAAAGGUGAAUUAAAUGAUAGUUGCUUUUAAUUUUUUUUAUUAAAUUUUAACACAAUCAACAUCUGCAUUCAAAAUAUAGUAAAGAUCUCACAAAGACUAGAUAGAUAACAAAUAUAAGAUCAAAUUAGCUUAGAAGAACUAAAAAAAAAAGGUUUUCAAUGGAUUGCCAAAGAUUUGCAAGAGUUCAAACCAAUAUUUUGACACAAGUUCACCAUAAGAGGCCCAUCACAUAGUCAACCAUAUGACUAGCUAUUAGAGUAUUAAAUGCAUAGCAAGUUAACAAUGGAGAGCAAAUUACUAAAGAGGUUGGUUGCAUAAUAGGAGAUUAAUUGAUGAUGAUAAGAAAAAAACAUUUCUUGUUAUGAUUUUGCUAUUUUAGGCAUGAAACAAUGCAAGAGUUUCCUAUGUAGACUUCAUUAUGUGAUUCCCUAAAACCUUUUAGAAUUUGAUAUCAUCUUUUGAGGACUUACACCAACUUUCAAUGCAAUUUUCAAGUUUAAAAGUUUUGUUUUAAUUUCUUGCAUUUUUAAGGCCUUAAAGUUGAUUUUAGUUCAAGAUAGUCUUCUAUCACUUAAAUAAGGACCUACCUAGAGAUCAUUUUUUAUGCCCUAGCAAGUAGCGACCACCAUAAUUCCAAGACUAACACGCAAGGAGUUCUGAGCUGCCUCUUGAGUCAUCAUAUUUUUUAGGAAGCACAACCACAAGAGUAACAAUGUUCGAUCCAUACAACAUUACUGAUAGUGAAAUUUUAAGGAUUAAUUGUUCAUGCUAUCCAAAAGGGCCGUUUACAACUUCAAGAUUGCAGAAGCAAAGCUAGAAAAUAGAGGCUCAAAAGUUUUGAAAGGAGGCAAAAGUUAUUUUUCAUAAAUCUCAAAAUAGCACAACCCCAUAUAUACUAUCUAUCCUUUAUUCCUCUUUUCUAAAGCUAACUUGUAUUUAUGCAUAAAUGUCUGACCUGUAUGAGUAUGAAGAAUGCAAGCGUUGAGGUUGAGAAUAUUAAACUUCAACUACAUUCCAUAGGAGUAUCCAAUGCUUCCUCGUGUGAACUUUUCCUCUCUUCAACAACGAAAACAAAAGCAUAUAUUAUAAAGCUAUGUAUAAUUAAGAAAAAGAAUUGAUUCCAUUCCACUGCUUUUAAUUAAUUCUCCCCACCACCUCUUGACUUACUCCUCAAGCCUCCCAACCUUUCCACAUGCAAAUGCCAACAGAUCAACUGUGAUUUUUGCAGCAAACCCACCAACUAAUCACCAUAAUUAAGCUACACAACAACAACACAAGCACCACUGAUUAAAACAAAGUGUUUUGUAAAAAUGUUUUUGAGACUAUAAGUGAUUUUUUAAAAAUGAUUGAUUUUUCUUCAAAACCAUUUUUUAUGCUACAGGUGCUUUUCAAAGCACUAUCAAACGGAUUAUUAGCCGACCCUCCAACCAUAAUUAACAUCAAUAUAUUUACUGAAAGGGAUUUGAUCAAGUGAGGCAUUGCAUUGACAGAAUCUGAGCCAUCGGAGUUUUGACAUUCGACAUUGAGACUCUUAAUCUUUGGCUUUAUUCUUGAUUCCCUAGGAACUCAAUGCUUUGUCACAAGGCUGACUGACCUGCACUCUAGCCUUACCCAUCUCCAUGAGUCCAUGGCAUGUAGUGGUAGCCUUUUAUGUCAAACCUAGGCCUCUUUUUCUUUUCUAAAUCUCACCUUUGCUUUAAUUUUUUCUUUUGAUUUUCAAAUUUUCAACCAUUAAUGAUGCUUAAACAGCUAAGAGGAUUGCAAAAAUUAGCGCUUAAGGCAUCAAAGCACCACUAGAUCAUGAUCUGAAGAUGUUAAUGGCAUCACUUUAUUUCUUGGAAAAGGCCAGAAGAUAAAAAUUGAUGAAAAAAGAAGUGAAAAUGAACCUUUGUUUAAAAGCAAUAGACCCUGAAAAGAAAAGAAAAUUUCAAAGUGGAAAAGAAAAAGAAUACCACCAGCUGCACCUCCACCACCCCCUCUACAACCCAGCCCAAAGUUCGAACUUUAUCGGAGUGCCCAAUUUCAUUGUCACCCUCACGGAAUCUUUGGUCAUGGGGUCGCAUAAUUUUGUAGCCAAAUAAAGAACUCACUGGCUUGUGGGCAUAAAAUAGAAGUCGAGAAUUAAGCCAUUUAACCCUCAAAACUUCAAAUCUUUCACACUUUUCCAAUUUCCUUUUAACAUUUAUGGGAUGCAAAGGAUCUUUUUCUCAUUGGGUAAUGAAGAAAGAAUAUUAUGAGCAACAAGUAAUGACAAGGAGCAAGGUAACAAAAAGAAUAGAGUGAGUUAGCUAGAUGUGGAUUGGAAAAUCCAGGAGAAGUCACUCUAAUCGAUGCUAUAAAUCUUGUCUGCCAUGAUCUAAGCAAGCAAUGGAAGGACUAGUACUUGGAACCAGUGAGAUUGAGCUGCAGGAAGGGGGCUCCACACUUGCUAACAGUGCUAAGAUAUGAACAACAAAACAUGAUCAUUAAGACAUGAUCUGCAAGUGUGAAGGGGCUCAUCAUAAGGAUAAUUAUUCUAAGAACAUUCUCUUUAACCCAAAUUACUAGAGAAAAAGAUAAAGGAAGGAAACAAAGCGACUCUCAAAAGCAAAAGUCCUCUGUCCCCUGGCCCAGUGUGUGCGUGCGUGUGCUUGGCCAGCUCUUACCCACCAGUCUAUUUGCUCUUCUCGGAGGGAUGAUGUUAACCAAAGAGCAGAAAAAAAAAAAAAAGGAGACAAGCUAUUUUUAAUGUGGUUUCAUUAAUGGGAUCCCUGAUUCCCUAUGUCUGUGAUGCGCAACGACACUUAAAAAAUUCACUAAUUAAAUAAAAGGGAAGGGUUACAAUGCUUAAGGCCCUCCCUCUCCUCUCAAUUUCGAUCACACUCUAAUUUUCUUAAAACAAAAUUCUAAAUCAUAGGAGGGUUAAAAAUACAAAAAAGGUAAACCAAUAAAUAAAUAAAAUUUCAAGAUGCAUUACACUCUUAAAUCCCGAUGAGUUAAUCGAAUGACUUGAUCCUACGAGCUCAACCUUUAGCAUUUCUUAUGUCAUGCAACAAGAUUGAUUCAGACUUCACAAUCUAUCCAAGAACUGCCCUAGGUUUUGAUCAUGAACAAUUUGUAAUUAACCCCGAUUUGAUAGAGAGAAGGUGGCAAGAAUUCGGUUGGCCAGAAGCAGCUAAAACCAACAAAGUCUGUAGGGAAAGAUAUCCUCUGUUUCGCCCAAGAAAGAUUGAUUGAAUCAUCAAUAAUUUGAAGCGUGAGUUGCAAUUAGAUCGAUUUUGUUUUUGGGGGAUCCAUUAGAAAGGAAGAUUGUUACAGGAUAUGCUAUGUUUGCAGUGAAUGAGUGAGUGAUUGAAGCUAGGCAGUGAGUGUGGGGUAGACUGUAGCGGAGGCAAAGAAACCAGCAAAAGCAAAAAAGAGGUAGAGCAGUGGCUUCAGCUUCAUGAUGCUUUAUUGCUUUAUCUUUCCCGCGUUUUGCUUUUUCAGCUAUAGCUCUCUUUUUUUGAGCCAAGGUGCUCUUAUCUCAAUCACACUCCCACUAAUUCUAUGCUACUUUUGUCUUCUUCUCUCUUUCUUUGCAGUUUGCAUACAUGCAAUCCUAUUUAAGGUCUUCAACAAUAUAUGGUGGGUGAUGCAUAGACAGAGACAAAAUCAUAAGCCACACUCAGGGUCAAGCCAAGAUGGAGAUAUUGUCACAGAUGUGGUCUUUCUUAGGCCUCCUCACUGUACUCCAAAACGUCUUGCCAUCCCAAAUUCUGUCACUUCUCCACUCCUUCUACGAGUCCCUUCAAGACUUCUUCUCCCCAUUCGCCUACUUCGAGAUCCCUGAAUUCAACGACUACUGCGGCGUCGACGUCAAUGACCUCUACCGCCAUGUCAACCUCUACCUCAACUCUGUCAACCCUGCCACCACCUGCCGCCGCUUCACCCUCUCGCGCUCCAAAUCCUCCAACCGCAUCUCCUUCACCGUCGCUCCUAAUCACACAGUCCAUGACUCCUUCAAUGGUCACACUCUCUCCUGGACCCACCACGUGGAGACGGUUCAGGACUCUCUGGACGAGAGGAGAAGCUUCUCCCUCAAGCUCCCCAAGCGCCACCGCCAGGCCCUCCUCUCGCCCUACCUCGAGCUCGUCACCUCUCGCGCUGAGGAGUUUGAGCGAGUCUCUCGCGAGCGAAGGCUCUUCACCAACAAUGGUCAUGGCUCCUACGAGUCCGGCUGGGUGUCCGUCCCAUUCCGCCACCCCUCCACCUUUGAAACCCUCGCGCUGGAGCCGCAGCUCCGGCAACAGAUAACGGACGACCUGACCGCGUUCGCCAACGGGAAGGAGUUCUACCAUAGGGUGGGACGCGCAUGGAAACGUGGGUAUUUGCUAUACGGACCGCCUGGGUCCGGCAAAUCGAGUUUGAUCGCAGCAAUGGCGAAUUACCUCUGCUACGACGUUUACGACCUGGAGCUCACCAAAGUCUCCGACAACUCCGAGCUCAGAGCACUUCUGAUACAGACCACUAACCGCUCCAUCAUCGUCAUCGAGGACAUCGACUGCUCAGUCGAUCUAACGGCGGACAGGCUGUCAAAGACGAAGAGAACGACACCGGCGAAAGGGUCCAGCAGAGACGAGGGUGAGGAGAACGGGCGGGUGACGUUGUCGGGGCUGUUGAAUUUCACCGACGGACUGUGGUCGUGUUGUGGGGAGGAGAGGAUCAUCGUCUUCACCACCAACCACAGGGACAAUGUUGACCCAGCGCUCGUUAGAUGCGGCCGGAUGGACGUUCACGUUAGCCUCGGCACCUGCGGCAUACACGCCUUUAAGGCCUUGGCCGCCAACUACCUGGGCUUGGAGUCCCACCCUCUGUUCGACGUCGUGGAGAGCUGUAUAAGGUCCGGCGGGACACUCACGCCAGCACAAGUUGGAGAAAUACUACUGAGGAAUAGAAGAGACGCUGAAGUGGCAAUCAAGGCGGUGAUAUCGGCAAUGCAGGCAAGGAUUUUGGGAGCCGAAAGGGAACCCAUAGAGUAUGAGGAGAUGGCGAAGUCGCCGGAGAGCGUGGAGAGGGGGCUGAUGGAGUCGCCGGAGAAUUGGGAGACGUCGUCGCCAGGGAAAUACGUGAGGAAGAAGAGGAAGGAGGGGGGUUCAGUUACAGGUUCAGGAAGUAGCUGGGAGAAGAAAGUCAAAUUCUUGGUGAGACUGAGAUCUUUGACCAAGUCUGACUCUGGAAGAAGGGGUUGUUAAUUGAAAGGUCAAAAUUUUGGGAUUGAAUUAGAUGUAAUUUUGUAGUUUCUUCCUUAAUUAAUAACUAAUUUAAGCUUUCGAUUAGUUAGUGACAUGGAUCCAAAGUCACAAUUUGUACAAAUGUCCUUAAAUUUAGCUUUAAUGGUAAUUUUGACGUAAACUUUAGUAUCAAAUUUUCAUAGCGCAAAUAGGUCAUUUUAUGGUACCCAAAAAGUAAAAAUGAUAACCAAUUUACAAAUUUUUUUUUUCAUUUUUUAUUCUACCAUAUUUCAUAUGAAGAAAUUAGUUUUAGAAAUAAUUUCCCAAUAUUUACAAGUGUGUAAAAUGUAGCAUAGCACCUCAACUUGAGGUAUUUAAAUUUGGUUUAGUUGGAUGCAACCAUUUCUACAAAUAUUUAUAAUUACGUGGCAGAAAAAAAAUCAAAAUAUUCUAAGAUUUAAAUCUACAAUUUUUGAGAAAUAUGACAAUAAUAAUUUGAAAUUUUCCUAAAAUAUUUUUAUUUUAUUAUAUUCAAGUGAUAAAUAAUAAUUAAUGCCCAUCUAGAUUUUACAUUUUGCAUUUGGGGUGGAUGGUCCACACAACAACCGGCACUAUUUCACGUGCGAAUACACACGAGUCCCACCACCAAACACACCACGUGGUGGAGGGAGGCCACGCAUUUAUUCGCCACACAACACAAAUAUCUUCUUCCCCUCCCCUCUUCCGAUAAAUACCACCCACCUACUGGCUACUGCCAAAAUUCUCACACCCCACCAACAACACACAAAAAAUGGGAGUGGUGAUAAUAGACGGAUCCACGGUGCGAGACUUCGUUGGCAACGACGCCUUGUUCAAUAAGAGCGUCGACGACCGCUUCUCUGCCCUUGACCUCAACGGCGACGGCGUCCUCUCCCGCUCCGAGCUCCGCAAGGCCUUCGAGACCUUUAGGCUCUUGGAGGCCCACUUCGGCGUCGACGUCGUCACUCCUCCAGAGCAGCUCACCCAGCUCUACGACUCCAUUUUCGAUAAAUUCGACUGCGACCACAGCGACACCGUCGAUCUGGAGGAGUUCCGAUCUGAGAUGAAGAAGAUCAUGCUCGCUAUUGCUGAUGGUUUGGGUUCCUGCCCCAUUCAGAUGGCUCUUGAGGACGAUGAUCAGAAUUUCCUCAAGAAGGCUGCGGAUUUCGAGGCCUCUAAGACUUCUUCCUGAACAACCACCCACCCUCAUGUCCUACCUCAUCUUUACUGCUGUAAUUUAGGGUUCCUUUUCCUUUAUUUUGUAAUCAAAACCUUUUGAUGAGGCUAUCUCAAUGUCAAAAAUCCAUUUCCCCCCACACCGUUUAAUCUAUUUAUUAAUCUGAUUUCAUUGGUUUAAACAAAGAGAACUAACCCAAUUCAUCUAAAUUCCAAUCACAUGAUGAAUAAUUGACAUUACAACCUCAACCCACUGAUGAUUUCAGUGGGUUUAAGCCAAUAAUACCAGGGGCGCUAAUUUUCAGAGUCAUCCCACCCACCUGCAAAACCAACAACCAGACCCCCGUAAAAGGAAGGAAAAAAAAACUCCAUCCCACUAUUUUUAUUACUUUUUCUUUUCAUAGGCCUAACCACCAGGAUCAAGGUGGUUUUAAGUUUUAUAUCCAAGACCAUAGGCACCGACAAUCAAUCAUAUGACAAGUACACUAAUUUGAUGAAUAUGUUGAAAAAAUAUCAAAAUCCAGUGUACCAUCCAUGUUACUUUUGUCUCAAAUUCCAAUCAUGAGAACAGUCCAAAUAAAAGUGUGAAUGGCCGAAGUUUACUAUGUCAUGAGAAAGUUCUGAAGACUCCAAGCAUUUUGCCAACGAGCAUAAAUGCAUAUCAACAACUCCAAAUGAGUUAAACCUUUCACUGUGUCCAAAAGAGGGAAAAUGAGACCACCCAAUGUGGAUUCAAUGCACAGAAAUAAAAAAUGAAACGUCACAUUUCGCAAAUGCGGAUUCAGUCCAAAAGUAAGUUAAAAAAUAAUACUACACUUCAACCUAAAUGAACAAAAAAAAAUUAAAAUGAGGUAGCCCCUUCGGAUUUUUGUUUACAUGGGAGGGCUGUUUUGGCCCAAAACUCUCUUCACCGCUUCAAGCUCCUUCACCCCAACCAAUGUGCGUUACCCGCCAUGUGAAUCCCAUGUGUAUUACAUAAUGCGCCCUCCAAAAAAGGUAGGAGUUCAAUACUGUUGAUCAUUAUAUACAAGAAUACCAUCGCAACUUGGUGAUAUAACCCAUUAGCGAAUAAUGAUCAUAGUGCUAACCACAAAACCAAGUACAAAAGGUUCUUAACCCUCGUAAUGCAAACUUAAUAAUUCUCUGGUUCUUUUCUAAACAACCUAGAAUGAUAACAAUAUACAAGCUUAUCACACACAAUGAUGACAAAAGGCCAGGUAAGUAAUUAUAAUGGUAACUAUUGUUAAGACCUCCAACUAUCAAUGCAGAUAUAACUUGAGCAAAAUCAAUUUCAUUAACAUGUUUGAAAGGAAGUGACAACAACACUUGCAGUUCUCCAUCAAACAAAGCAUAUAAAAAACAAGACACUCCAUUUAAUAAACAUAAUUCCAAGAAAAAAACAAAGAGGCUAAUGGGACCAAAGAUUAAUAGAGAUUAGCUUAGCGUAGCAUAUACAUGAGCUGAACUAAUAUUUUACAUCGAUAAAUUAGCUCAGCAUUUUUGGCUUACAAUGCAAAAUGGGAUGUUCUCAGAAACCUUUCAUAUUUCCAAGCACCCUGAGGAGUACUGUACCCUUAAACCCAUUAAGUAUUCUCAGCAUAUUACAAGAAAAACACAGCACUCUUUCAUUUAUGCAAUCAAACAAAUUAAUCAAGGCAUAUGCCCAAUCAUGCUGUGCAGCCUUGUACCAACACACACUUAAAAGUAUCACCUUAAAUGUUUUAGACUCAAUGAUAUGUAUCAAAUUAUGCUGGCUUUUACUCAAUGAAAAGGAGUCAUCAUGCUGUUAAAUGUCGUUAAUCUCACUAACUUUACUUACGACCAACAUUUAUUCCAAUAAGCAUCAUGAAUCCCACUAAUUUCAUUAGGACCAACAUCAUUGCAUCACAAAUGUACAAAACAUUUUUUGAAUAAAUGCAACAUACUUGUGUCAACCAUCAGUUCCUGGUUGUAAUCACAUCCUUUAUGCCAUGACAAUGAGAAACUGCGUUCAAAACCACAACCACCAAAACUAAAAAUAGGAAAAGUUCUAAUCUAACACCAAAAUUUCCAACUCCAAACGGAACAAGACAUUUAUAAAUGCAAGUCACAACUUUAUCAAGUGAAGCACAAAUUUAAAUGACUAAAAUUCGAACUAAUACAUUUAGAGCUAAAAUUAAGAUGGUAGGCCACAUCAAACUCCUCAAAAAUCACCCCUAAGGUGAGUUCCAAACAAGGAUAUGCUAUUUGCAGAACCACUUCUACCACUUGAUGUCGUGACAAGUUGUUUAGUAGGUAAAAAAGCAUGCAUUUUAUUUCUUAACUCAGUUUCUACCAUCAAUCACCACUUAUCACAUUGGUUAGAGUAAAAGCCAUUGUUUUUUAAGAAGAAAGAAUUGAAUGUUACUAUUCACUUUAUCAUCUUUUGAAGAGAUGAUUAAUAAGAUCAGAACAAUGAUGAAAGCCCCAUUCUACAUAUCAAAGUAGAGGAAAUCUAGAUUUGAAUGAUUCACAGUAUACAUCAUUAUUGAAGCAAACAAAAUUGGGAUGACCCAUGGGAUCACCACCAUCAUUGCCCUGUUCCCAGCAUGAAUUUGGAUAGGGUAAAUCAUGAUAAUCCACCCAAAUUGAUGAUGAGAAUGGGAGCUUUGGCAGCUGCAAAAAGCAAAGGGAAAUCAAGCUGUAACAAGAUCACACAGAAACAAUGUCGGAACAUCUGAAUGCAUAAACCCAGCGAAAACAAAGAGGCAAAUGCCAGAAUCUCCGCCCCGUUGUCACUGUAGGCAACGUACAGCGCUGAAUACGCUAUUGGGAAAGCGUAUCAGAGACUCUAAUUUGUUGCCAUGCACUACCAAAAGCAAUAUCACAGAUGAAAUAAAAUCAUCCAAAACAAUAAUUUCAAAGUAAGAAAAGGCUCAGAGAGUAAUGAUUCUAGAUAGCAUCAACAAGCUUCCAAGCUUUCAUAGUUUGAUGGUAUACGAUUCUCGUCAUCGCUGCCUCCUCAUCAACAAUUUUGAUUAUCCCAGACAACCCAUGAAAAUUAAAGAGAUUUAACAGAGAACCCAUAAAAACUCAACUCCAAAGAAGGCGAGAUCAGACCUUAACCUUGCGAACUGCUGUUGGAU
rnacentral:lncRNA from 1 species